rnacentral:tRNA from 1 species
ACCACCGUAGCCUAGUUUGGAUAAGGCGUUUCCCUCCUAAGGAAAAGGUCGAGAGUUCAAAUCUCUCCGGUGGUG